ACCGAAUUAACAAUUUAGUGGACUAAAGAGUUCCAUUUUAAAGCACAGUGGGAGCCGUUUGGCUUCAUGUUGAAGCUCCCAGCCUUACCUUAGUUUAGUUUAGCUCGCUAGCUAAGGCACGUUAAUGUAUUCCGAUUGUUUUGGUUUAACGCCACUUGCCCGCUUCCAAUUUGCAAACUUGGUUUUCAGGAAAAGUAGAUCGGUUAACUUGAGAGUGAUUACAUUUAAUUAUACAAGACCCUUCUCGACUUGACUUGAAGAUGCCUCAAAUUACUACUGACUGAAGGCCAACGCAAUCCCAAACAUCAAGUCAAAGGGUAGAUAUGGAAAAAAAAGGAGAUGGAAUCCAGGUCACGAAAAAAAAACAAAAGAAAAUGAGGGGGCGUUACAGUAGGGGGGCAGUGCCUACCCAUGGACACGCUCUGCUCACCCAAAGACAACUGGAUGUUGUCCUAACGGCAGUCUGGUAUGGGGCGCCGUUUGUAAAGCAGCACAUGUUGAAAAUAGGGAAUGGGACGUACUACGUCAUUGUUUGGACACGCCUCCAUGCUGAUAAUAUACAGUGGUACCUCUACAUACGAAUUUAAUUCGUUCCAGGACCUUGUUUGUAAGUCGAAAUGGUCGUAUGUCGAGCAGGAUUUUCCCAUAGGAAUACAUUAUAAUUCCAUUAAUUCGUUCCAAAGCCUAAAAACAUACACUAAAUUCUUAAUAAAUACUGCUGGCACUGUUACAAAUGGCAAUUAAACAUAGAAAAACAUAAUUUAUAAAUAAAUAAUUCAGAAUAAUAUAAUAAUAAGAAGAAUAAUUAAUAAUUAUUCCUGUAAAUAAUGUAACGAAUCGGAUUCUAAUAUGGCGGACAGUUUUUACUGUCCCUGAACGCACCGCGAAGCUGACGUCUCAGUGAGAUAGGUCAGUGCGGUAGAGAUAAUACUUUCGUUUUCUUGAGAGCAGUCAACUGCUUAAGACAAUGGGCGUUUUGUGUUGGAUAAGUUCUUAAAUAAAUGAUAAAAACGUGACGAAGCUGGCGAUUUCCUUGGCAAUGUUACCACAAUAAUAAUUGUCACCUUAACUUAUAAAUAGUGGCGAACGGUGGUCGGAAGAGGACCAUGGAGCUGUAUUGUUGAGCCAGUUCAGGGACGCGCACCCCAAGCUCAUAUUUUUCUAUAACUUGCAUCUUUAUUUCAAAGGUAAGCAUCACUUUUUUCCUUGUUUCUCCAACUGUAUCAACUUUUUUUGAAAACUGUGUUGAUUUCUCACACAAGAAAAUCCACCGUGCGUUCGUUUGCAGUGCUGUCAUGUCGUCGUAUUUCGAGCAACUCGUCGGAUUUAGAAACAAAUGGCGGCUCAAAUUUUACGUCGGAUGUCGAAAAGAUCGUGUGUCGAAGUGAUCGUAUGUAGAGGUACCACUGUACUUUACUUCCAGUCCGCCAAACUCAACAGGGAUUGUAACGUGUGGUAGUGCUAAGCUAAUUCCUUCGGUGUAUUAGAAAGAAAUUAUGGGUGUGUAUUGUUGUGUUACCGGGUGCAACAGCGUCUCCCACCCACGACAAAAAAGGGCAAGGAAAACUAGACUCGCUUUUCACCGUUUUCCUGCAUGGAGGACCAAAUAUCAGAUCACGAAGGCACGACGGAUGGCUUGGGUCGCAGCGGUUCGUCGGAAAAGCAUUUCUUUUGAUCAUAUUUCUGCUGGAAUGAGAGUGUGUUCCCGUCAUCUCUACUCUUGUAAACCUGCAUAUGAAAUGCUGACAACACAUCCCGAUCGGUCACCGUCUGUCUUCUUGAAUUAUUUGACAAAGAAAUUUGUUCCAUUUGUCUUGUGUCGGACUCAAACAAGCCCCUACAGCAGACGCCAUCUGGGUCUGCCCUUCUUGUCAAUGGACUGCGGGCUUAUAACUUGUGAAAAUGCAAGAACUUAAAUGCACAUAUUUAUUCUGCCUGGUUAACUAAGGCCAGUGAUUUUUUUUUUUUUAACCACUUUGACAAAGACACGUUUCAUUGUAAUAUUAUAUAUACUCUAUUAUUUCUUUAUAAUAUAUUCUUGUUUGCUCUAAUGUAGACUUUAGACUGUGAAUUCAAAUAGUGUUGGAAAAGUUGCAAUACCUAAAAUAGAAAUGCAAAAACUGUAAUGUACAUUAGGAGUGGGAACCUCAAGGCACCUCACGAUACGAUACGCGAUACAAGGCUCACGAUAACGAUUAUCUCACGAUAUCACGAUACAGCAAAUAUCGAUAUAUUGGUCAGAAAUUUGAUACAUGAUAUUCUACGAUACAAUUGUUGAAACGAAAAAGUACUGUUUAAAUCAUUUAUUAAACAGUGACACCUUUUCAGUGCAACAUUGCUGUAAAAUAUAAAUCUACUGAUAAUUGUGUACCUGCACAUACUGUACAGAGGAAACAAACCACAACCACUGAUACUUCUUGUAGAAAUCAUGAUGAAUGGCACCCUUAAUUUCUUAAGUUUUAAAUCUUUUGAAAAUUUUAACAGUGUUGUAAGUCAGGGGUCCCCAACCUAUUCCACUAAGGCACACUGUGGGUGCAGGAUUUCAUUCUUACCAAACAAGAUGACAACACUUUUUCCCCAAUCUGGUGUUUUACAAGUGCAAUCAGUUGAUUGCAGUCAGGUGUGGCUUGUUUUAGCAGAAGCCUCAUUGGUUCAACUGUCUCUGCUGGAUCGGCUGGAACAAAAACCAGGACCCACAGUGUGCCUUGAGGACUGGGUUGAAAACCCCUGUUGUAAGUGACAGUCAGCAGUUGAUCUUGGAGUGGGGCAAUGAUAAAAUUGGUGGGUGUUUUCUUUGUAUAUGAGCUUUGUUGUCAAAAGCUCUGCUUCAGCAUUUGAGAUGUCAGACUCAGUCAGUUACAUUCUUCCUCACCUUAAAAACAACAAAAUAAAAAAAUAUUAAGCUUUUGAGUUGAAAUCCUGAUUUUUUUUGUGUGUGUUGGAAGUCUUGAGUGAAUUAAAAAAAUAUGAGUUGAAUGUAUAGAAAUUAAAAAUGCACUAAUUACCUAUUUUUAAUAUGUAGGUUACAUUAAUUAUCAUACAUGUCACCUUAUAUAUCUUGGAAGCUAUUCAAACCGUUUUUAUAGCUUAUUGUAUCAAAAUGGCAGUCAUAACAGUUUAUGUAGUAAACUAGAUGGAAAGUGGUUCUCAAUAUCAAAUAAAUCAGUAAAUUCAUGUAUGCUUAUUCGCUAUUCAUUUUCAUCCAGUUUAGGGUCCUGGUUGAUUUUGUGUCUUUCAACACCAAAUGUCAUAAAAAUAAUACAUUUAAAUUAAAAAAUCAAUUACUAGUACAUUGCAAAACUUUCUUA